rnacentral:rRNA from 1 species
GACGAAUGCUGGCUGCGUGCUUAACACAUGCAAGUCGAACGGUGAAGGAGGGCUUGCCCUCCGGAUCAGUGGCGAACGGGUGAGUAACACGUGGGCAACCUGCCCCUCACUCUGGGAUAACGCCGGGAAACCGGCGCUAAUACCGGAUACGACCAGGCGCGACAUCUCGCCUGGUGGAAAGAAUUUCGGUGAGGGAUGGGCCCGCGGCCUAUCAGCUUGUUGGUGGGGUAACGGCCCACCAAGGCGACGACGGGUAGCCGGCCUGAGAGGGCGACCGGCCACACUGGGACUGAGACACGGCCCAGACUCCUACGGGAGGCAGCAGUGGGGAAUAUUGCGCAAUGGGCGAAAGCCUGACGCAGCGACGCAGCGUGAGGGACGAAGGCCUUCGGGUUGUAAACCUCUUUCAGCGGGGACGAAGCGAAAGUGACGGUACCCGCAGAAGAAGCACCGGCUAACUACGUGCCAGCCGCCGCAGUAACAC